CUUGCUUCUCAUAGUUCUCUCAGCCUGCUUUCUUAUAGAACCCAAGACCACCAGCCCAAGGAUGUCACCACCCACAAUAGGUUGGGCCCUUCCUGAUCAAUUACUAAUUAAGAAAAUGCCUUAUGGCUGGAUCUUAUGGAGGCAUUUUCUCAACUGAGGUUCUGGAACCUCCUUUCAGCUGCUCCAGAAGAAUCUCAGCCUGAUCCUGCCGUGGUAGCUGAGGACUUCCUGUGGCCCAUCCACUAUUGUUAGGGAAGCCACAUACUCAAAUUUAUUUUUGAAGCACAUGGAAGUAGUCUUUCAAUCUUGGUGUCCUGUGUUGAUCACACUUGAUCUCUGAGUAUGCUGAAGAUCAAACAUUACUUUCUUUCCUUUUUUUGUUUUUUUGAGACAGGCUUUCUCUGUGGCUUUGGAGGCUGUUCUGGAACUAGCUCUUGUAGACCAGCCUGGUCUCGAACUCACAGAGAUUUGCCUGCCUCUGCCUCCCGAGUGCUGGGAUUAAAGGCUUCGGCACCACUGCCUGGGCAAACAUUACUUUCUUGCUGAAAGUGGUAGUGCUAGUUUUGGGAGCACUAUCAAGGUGAAUUGGUUAAUCUUCCAGAUAUAUGUGAUACACAUUCUUUUAAAGUUUAAGGAUAUAAAAAUGGUGAACUGUAUACUCUUUCAAAAACUCACAGUUUAUACAGCAACACAAAACUGAGGGUGUUAGCAUUCCAUUACUAUGAUAAAAUGCUUGUGUGUGGUAGUUUGGAUGAGAAUUUCCCCCGUAGACUCAGGUAUUUGAGUUGGUGCUGCUGUUGGUGAUAAGUUUAGGAGGUUUGGCCCUGUUGGAGAAAAUAUGUUGUUGGGGAUGGGGGUUUGAGGUUUCAAAAAUCAUGUAUCAUUUCUAGUUUGCUCUCUGUGCUUGAUGUUUGUGAUUCAGACUUCCUGCUUCUGCUGGCAUGCCUUUGCUCCACCAUGAUGGACUCUAACUCUCUGGAACUAUAAGCCCCAAUAAAUUUCUUUCUUCCAUA